rnacentral:lncRNA from 1 species
AUAACUAAUACAUCGCAGACAGCCAAUUAUACGUCAUUGCGCAGUAGAGUUCCAAAAGUCGUCGGGAAUGACUGACCUGUGUAGAUUGAUCUUGGCUUAUGUUUAUAGCCAGAGCCACAUGGGUCACGUGAUCAAUCCCCUCUCCUAACGUCGCGUCAUAUCGGGGCAGAUGGGGAAUGGGAAGGCUAUCAGCUAUCGGGGCCCCCGACUUGGAGACAUGAUGAUAGCACGUCCGCUCACAGCGCACGCUGACCAAACACCAGAUAUUUGAGUGAAGUUCAAGCGUGUUGAACUGUUGUUGUCUCUGGUUGAUGUCCACGCCUUCCUUAGUUUGUCUAUAAUGAUCUGUGCGUCGCUCGUUAAUUAGAAGUGUUUCGAUUCUACUGCUGUCCAAUCAAACUAAAAAUAAAUAGUUGAAUAAAUGAAGUUUAAUCAAUUAAUAACGUGAAGUUCGUGGAAAUUAAUAAUGUAAACAAAACAGUGACCGAGUUAUGUGGAAUUCUCGGCCGAAAGUGUUGGAAUUCUUUAUAAUUUACGCAGCUAACUUGUCGAGCUCUCGUCCAUCGUCGUCUACCGCGGUGUAGUGCUAUUUUGGGUGGCAGAGCGUAGGAUUUGAAAAAGGUGAAAUGUACAAAAUUGCGCUUCUCUGCGUUAUUUUGUGCGCCACUGCGCCAGGUCAAUCCGUAGAUAAAACUUUAGAGCCCAAGGCCCACGGUCGUGAUGUGGUCGAGGCGGUGGUGGACCGAAUCCAAAAAAGUAAUGUGUUCUCCGACGACAAAGACUACCUGCGUCGUGUUGCAUAUGUGGAGAGCAGGUUUGGUGAUCACAGUAGCACCUAUAGGAGCGGCUACUACGGAGGGAUCUGGCAAGUUGACUCCUUCAAAGCAACGCAGCAGGACUGGGCAGGCAAUGUCACGAGUCCCACGCUGAAGAAGAUCCAUAAGGAUAUCAAAGAAAAAAUGGACAUUGAUUGGAUGCAGGUCAACAGAGAAGACCUACUGAAGCCGUUCUACUCGGGGCUUGCCGCUAGAAUCUACAUCGCGUUGACGGAGAAGUCCCGCGGUCCGAUCCCGGACGACAUAGCGGGCCAAGAUCGAUACUGGAAGGAUUGGUACAACACGAAAGCAGGCAAAGGGAAGUAUGGCGACUUCGAGAGUCGCGUACGCGAAAUGCUCAAGAAGGACAUGACCCGUAGCGGCGGGCGGAUCGACCUCAUGAUGGUCAUCGAUGGCAGUGGUAGCAUAGGUAAGGAUUCAUUCAAGACCGCUCUGGACUCGGUGGCGGGGAUGGCGGGCUCCUUCGACCGGCGGCAAGCCAACAUCGGCGUGGUCGUCUUCUCCGAUUACGCCACAAUACCGAUCUCCCUCGUCAACAAUCUAACCGCGGAGGAGCUCCAGCAGACCAUCCAGAGCAUCACCUACCCGGAAGACGCCACCAACACCUACGCUGGUAUAAUGGCCGCCGUCGGCGAGUUCCGAGCGUUACCUGCUGACCGCAAAGCCGCCGGUGUGCCGCGCGUUAUUAAUGUCUUCACCGACGGCAAGCACAACAGGGGAGCCGACCCAGCCUACGCAGCCAAGGAAGCUACCAAAGAAGGCAUCGUCUGCAACGCAUUCGGCAUCGGUUAUGAAGGCAUUGAUAGGAAUGAGCUGGAAGCCUUCACGAGUCCGACCUCCGGACAUAUCUUCUCAACGCUGUCCUACGACACUUUGUCCGAGCAGAUAUCUCAGAUCGCCCGAAAAACGAAGACGGUGCCUCUAACGCCCCAAAUCGGAAGCCUCGUUAAAGAGGAAAUGGCUGAAGUUGGCGACAAGCGUUACUAUCGACUGGGGGUCCCGUCCAGUGGCACGACCAUCACACUGAACGAAGAAAAGGGGAGUGCGCGGGGCUAUUGGUCCUACACGGAGGAACAGCCCUCCAGCGCCCUCUACGACGGUGUUCUGACCAACGGGAAAACCUUCAUUCCCGCGCCGCCUUCGACGAAGCCGGGGCAGCGGAGGCGGAGGGACACAGAGGCAGAGAACAGCACCGAAGCAGGACCUACAGAUGACGUCAAAGAACAAGGCGCCGUGUUCAUCGCUAUCGAGAGUUUGGCCGACAACACGACGGUCACGAUGAAGACAGACGCGGGAGAUGUCAGUGCCGCCACCAGUCUAAGCGCCUCUCACAUUAGGGUUGUCAUCUUCUCGUCCUCUCUCACUCUUAUCAUGACUCGAUUGCGGUGCCUAUAAAUAACUUGUUUUUGAUAAUUACAAUCCAUACACUGAGGAAAAAAUGGACAGAAUUCAUCAGAAAGGAACCAACCCACAUUCAGUUGAAACUGAGAAAAAGAGGUUUAAAGUUUCAUUCCUGCUCAAGGCUCAAUGUAAAAAAUAAACUUUAACCACUCCUCCCAUAAACUAAUUUUUUUCUUUCGACUUUCAGAUUUCGGCAAGAGAAAAUAAGCAAGUAGUGGAACUCAAAAACAUUCUUCACUCAAUUUUUUCGAAAACGUGGGUUGGUUCCUUUCUGAUUAACUCGGUCCGAAUAUCGGACAUAUGAACCGAAUGCACGGUGAUCAGUAUCGGCUGUAUUGUUCGGUUCAUAUAACCGCUAUCUCGGUUCUGAAAACCGUAUCCUCGGUUCAAGCAACCGCGCAUUCAAACCGAACAGAACUUACAAAAAAGCUCGGUUGUAUGAACCAAGGACACGGUUCCCAGAAUCGAGAGAGCGGUCGCAUGAACCGAACAAUCCGGCCGAUAUUGAAUACCGAACAUUCGGUCCACAUGACCGAACUUGUAUUCUCAGUGUAGAAGCAAUAUCGAGUCAAAUGACAAAUUCCCAUGUUAAAUGAAUCGGCGCAUGCUAAAAGGGCGUAAGUCUCAAAAUUCAUGAGCCCUAGCGUCCUGCCCAAUCAACGAAAGCCAGGGCUCAUGAGUUUUCGGGUUUAUACGCUCUUUUAGCCGGCGUCUAUUCUAAUAUUAACCGAAACUGAAAGAAUGGUUUUCCUUUGAAAGGGGACCAAGGAACAUCAGCUGAUGCUAAAUUUUAUUGGACAAUUAGUUUUAUGCUAGAGAACGGUUUUAGGAACUUUUCUGAGAAUAUUGCAGAGAGUGUGCAUCAUGCUUUUAAAUAUUCUCCAAAAUGCUCAGGGACUCGCAAUGAGAAAAUAGCUGUAAAAAUAAUCAUUACCAGUAAAUUUCUUGAAACGUUUCUACUCCUCGACUUGUUUCUAAAAGUUCCUCUAGUUUUUAAUAUCAGCGCGUACAGUCUUAUACAAAUUUUGUACAUGUUUUUAUAAUUUUUUUAUAGAAUAUAAGUUUUUUUAUCAAGUUUUCAAAAAUAUCUUCUCCUCAACUUUUUUUUCUUUAAAAAAAUUAUCAAUUAUUUGUUUGUAUUAGGCGUUAAGUUUGUUCUAAAUCAGUUUUGUUAUUUCGAAUAAAAGUCUUUACUUUUCUCUAAUU